rnacentral:lncRNA from 1 species
GUUUGGGACCUUGGACAAAAUUUCAAGUGCAGUGUUACUUACAGUCUUUAAAUGACGUAAAUGUUAUAAUUGUUGGCAUGCUCAUUAACUUGCAGUUAAUAGUUAAGAACAUGGACUCUGGAGCCUGAUGAGGUUCAAAUUCCACUACUAGCUGUAUGAUCUUGGGCCAGUUACUUAACCUCUCUGUGACUCAUUUUCCUCCUUUGUCAAGUGGUAGCAGUAAUAAUUCCUACCUCAUAGAGCUGUUGUGAAGUUAAUGCAUGCAAUGCAUGUUUAUACCCGUCCCCAGCACAUAGGAUGUCGUAUAUGUUUGCUUUUUAUUUUUAUUGUUGUGCAUAUUAUCCCUACCUUCUCCUAAUCAUCUACCUGUUUUGCUAAGUGGAUCCUGAAAGCCAGCAAGAAGACUCUGAGUUCUCUGAAAUGCCGUUGCCCAAACAUUUCCAGAGUGUGCUUGGUCAAAGCCGUACCACUAGUUUCAUAUGUGUUUAAUUUUGGAUAGGUGGGGCUAAAUCACAGAACCAGUUUUGUUUAUUUAUAACCGCCUUUAGAUUCCCUCUUCCCUUCAAAUCUCCCUUCUAAAUCUGAGAUAAGGUGCCAGCCUUCUCAGAAAAGAAGGGAAGGUCCAAAGGAAAAUGAAGGCUGUCGACAUAGCUCCCAGAAGGUGGGAUCUGGAUGUGCGAAAAAGCACACCAAAGAGGAAACUGAGAUUACCAGUACGGUUUCCUCUUUAUGCUUCAAUUUUCUAAAAUAUGCCCAAUGAACAUGUAUGUUUUAAAAGUUAGAAUAAAAUAUGGUCUUUUGUAAAACAGAGAAUUUUUUAAAAAUCCUGCCAAAAUCUCUCAUCAAACAACUGAAAACUCUACUAAAAGAAGUCACAGAAGGAGCAGAUUGAGUGGGGUGAAGGGACCUACUAAAGGAAGGUUACAGAAGGAGCAGGUUGAGUGGGGUGAAGGCAGAGCUCAGUGGCUUAUGCAGAUUAUGUAGGAGCCUGGGGAUGGGAGGUGGAAAUAUGGGCAAAGCAGGAGUGAGAAGUGGGCUUCUGACAAACCCCAAAUUGUUUGGAAGAGUGAAACAAAAACCAGGAGACCAAAAAGACUUAGCUGACCAGUCCACAAUGUUUGAAACUCUACGCUAGAUACUGUAGGAAAGAAAGCAAUGAAUAUAGCAGGGUCUCUACCUCCUAUUGCAUCUAAACAUGAACUUGAGGAAAUCGACUCUACAGCAAGUGUAGACUCCCUUUUGGAGGGAGGAAAUCUUUUUAGAUCACGAUGCCAGGACUUCUCAAACUAUUCCUUAUGGAUCAUGUGCAUGGGGGAUAGCAGGGCUGAUUAUGAAAAUGCAGACUCUCAGGCCUCUCCAUCCCUGAUGAAUCAGCAGGUCUGGAGCCCAGAAGCAAGGGAUCUGGCUUUUCAUCAAGCCCUUGUGGUGAUUCUUAUGUACAAUUUAAAAUGUUAGUAACUCUCUUGUCAAACAACUGAAAACUUCAGUGGUAGCUGCCAAAGGAAUUAAAAUUACUUUCGACGGGGGUGGUGGGCAUGGAUGGUUUCAAGGAGCAGUAUUUGAAUGGAGGCUUUGGCUGGGUUUUCCUGACUGUGCCCAAGGGGAGGUCCAGUUCCAGGAGCGGGAAAUGGGUGAUCCAAGGCAACCAAGUUCAUGGGGUGGGGUGGGGGGCCCAUGACCGUGCUGGGGUUUAUGGCAGACAUGGGCUGCAGACCCAUGAGGUGAUGAGGUUCCAGUUCUGCAAGCUUUCCAGCCUCUCUUCCACACUUCACUGGGAUGACAGGGCUGAGGAAUUUCACCACAGAAAGCUGGUUUGGCUCUAUGCUCAUCUGUUCCCAGGCGAGCUAAAUUCACCCGCUUUCUGCCUUCUGUCAAGUCAGCUGUUCUCUGAAUUCAAGUAGAAGUAUGAGAAUUUCUGGCCACUCAGGGUGGCAUUUUGCUAUGGUCAUUGCUUGAAGUAGCACAGGCGGCUCUAUUUCCAAAGGGAAACCAGCCUACUCACCUCAGGCGGGGCAGGCAGGCAGGCAGCAGGCCAGGCCAGUGCUGGGCACACUGGGUGGCUUUGCCAUCUCAGUGGCAUCUGCAGGGAGUGAGGGGCAAGCAGCCGGUGAUCAGAUGUUCCUAUACCACGGAAGUGCCCAGACCAACUAUCGGGUCUGUGAGUGGGUUGGAACCUCCCUUUCUAAGCUACCUAGAUGGUGUCAAUCAACAACAAUCAUUUAAUGACUGACCCUGCUGUUGAGUCAGCGCUGUCAGCCUCCACCCCUUUCUCGACUUCUGCUGAUGCUGUUUGAAGCAUCUAAGGGGUGAGAAGCUGGGGCCCGGCCUCAUCAGCAGCAGCCCCACGAUGAAAAUUCCAUCAAGGUCUCCUGUCUCCCUUCUGGCCUCGACCAUCAUGCUGUAGCCAAAAAAUGUGAACUGGGCUAAGACACAGACAGGGUGCGAGGAACGUGGAGGGGCUGCCCAGAUGUCCUUUCCAGAAAGGGGUGUGAUCAGCAGAUGCUUGUCAGCUGCUAGCCCCUCAGGGUCUGCCUCAGCUGCCUAGGCCAUGUCCACAGCCAAUGACGGAUUAUGGCAGGUGUAUAUAAGCCUAGCUAUUUGGCCCAGGGCCCAGCAAUUCACAUGGGCCUCCCAGUCCUGCUUUCAUGCCUUCCUUCCACAGGUGCUAAUCCUAAGGCAUUCCGCAAUAAACACUGCAGCCUUCAUUCCAUUUCAGUCUGCUCUCCAGAGAACCCACAUGCAGCCCGUGAGUUUGAAUUUCAGCUGGACUAAUUCGGAGCUCUGUGACCUUGGGGAAGCAAGAACUUCUUUUCUGUGAGACUUAAUGUCCUGUUCUGCAAAAUGAACACAUAGUAACUUUUUUCAUAGGAUUGUUGCUGGUGCAUUUACAUAUCUGGUGCAGAGUACUUGCUCAUCAGUAUUAGCUAUUGUAAUCUCAGGCAAGUUAUGUAACUUUAGUGAGCCUUGGAUCCGUUAUCUAAAAAUAAGAACAAUAUCGCUUACAUCUCAGGAUUUUUUUAAAAAAUUGAAGUCUAGUUGAUUUACCGUGUUGUUAGCUUCUGGUGUACAGCAUAGUGCUUCAGUGUAUCUCAGGAUUUUGGUAAGGAUCAUAUGACAUACUCUGUGUGUGAGGUACUCAGUAGAUAUGCCCUUUCCCCUUAUUUUUCCUUUAUCAUAUCAAUAGUACCUUUAUAGAGUGAAUUAAAAAAAUAAUUCUUUUUAAUGUUAUUUAUUGCUUGCCCUUUAUCAGAGUAUAAAGUGCAUUCAUUCAUAUUCGGAGGAGGAAAAUUGCAUGUAGAGCAGAAGGGCGGGGCUCAGGUGGAGCCCUGGUUUUGUGGCUCUCUUCUCUUCCAUUCCAGGUCAAAGGACAACUCCAGGCAGCACACCCUGCAUGACUCAACAUAUUCUACACACUGCUCAUAUGACCUUCGUUUCCCCUUUUUCCUUGGUUCACUUUUAUAAUCCUUGUAAUGAUCUAUUUCUGUGGAUUAUAGGAUUUCUGUUUUAUCUGGUAAAUCUCUGAGAAGCAGGGAAGUAUCUCUCUCUCUCUCUCUUUUUUUUUUAAAGGGUCUGGCUGGCUGUUCAUUGGUUCUUGUACUAGUUAAUAGUGACCAGCUCUUACAGCAAUGCUGAGUUCUGCUGGAUGCAUUCAGAGCAGGAAUUCCUGCUGACUUCACAAGGAAUCUGAAAGCCAGAUGGGGUCUUCUGAGCCCCCCCUUGUCCAACUCUGUCAUCUCACCCAUGAGGAAUUUUUGUUUAGGUCAGCCUAUUUUUAAAUAAUGUCAUUUAAAAUCUUAUGUGGAAUUUUUGUAGCCCCAUCUUUAUUACAUCUUUCUUUUAUAACUUCAUAGUCUAUUUUUUGUUUCUCGUUUAAAGCUUCGUCAGUUCUAGGAACACUGUCUUACACUGACACCUACUGGACAGGUGGGAAAAUAGCUGAUACCAAGAACACUACCGUUUGUUAGGACUAGAGACAGAUAAAUAGUGUCUUUCCCACUGCAUUCAUAUUUAUUUAUUUAUUUAUGUAUUUAUGUAUUUAUUUAUUUAUUUUUGAGGGUGGUCUUUGCAGGGGCAUACCUGCAGCAUAUGAAAAUUCCCAGGCUAGUGGUCGAAUCAGAGCUGCAGCUGCCAGCCUACGCCACAGACACAGCCACAGCAAUGCCAAAUCUGAGCCAAGUCUGUGACCCGUACCAAAGCUCUCACAGCAACGCCAGUUUCUUAACCCACUGAGUAGGGCCAGAACCCAUGUCCUCAUAGAUACUAGUUGGGUUUGUUACCGCUGAACCACGGGGGGAACUCCCACAUUCACUUUUAAUAAGCCUCUUUCUUAUAACUGUCCCGGUCAUAAGCUUUCAUUUCCCUCUUCUUCUACUAAACCUAAUUGUCUAUAUUAGAUUUUAGAUUUCUGGGAUGUGAUGAUUAGAUCCAGUUAAGAUGCUACAAGCCCAUAGUAUGUUUAUGCAGUGCCAUUCUUUAGAUAUAUUUAAUGUUUAAUGAGGCACAAUAAUCCCACUCAGUAACUGUGAUAAUUCUGCAAGCACUGUAGCUCUGAAGCACUGACAUGUCAGGUGGGCCCUGUGAAAGGUAUGGAACCAUUCUUAAUCCUAGAGUCACCUGAUGGUGGGGACUGCCAGAGGCCAUCUCAUCUGGAUCAAAACCUCUCACCAUUGGCAGUAAGAACUAUCCAGGAUGAAGGACAUAAAUUCUUUCCUUGACGAUUUCUCCAGGGAUCACAACCCCAGUGAGAAUUCAUUCAAACGCCUCACGGGACUUGGUUACAAAGCACCUCUUUCCUGCCUUUAUAUAAAGUUACUUUUGUUUGUCCUCCUAAGGUCUGGCAAUGAUUAAUCAAAUCCUACUCAUAAAAACCUUCUGAAAUGUACCAGUAGGCUAUAUCCUAAUCACCUGCUUUCCCACCCUUUUUCACCAUACUUUUCUUUAGUUAAGUAGUUGAUUUUUUCUGAGUUCCCGCCGUGGCGCAGUGGUUAACGAAUCCGACUAGGAACCAUGAGGUUGCGGGUUCGGUCCCUGCCCUUGCUCAGUGGGUUAACGAUCCGGCGUUGCCGUGAGCUGUGGUGUAGGUUGCAGACUUGGCUCGGAUCCCGCGUUGCUGUGGCUCUGGCGUAGGCCGGUGGCUACAGCUCCGAUUCAACCCCUGGCCUGGGAACCUCCAUAUGCCACGGGAGCGGCCCAAGAAAUAGCAACAACAACAAAAAGAC